AGCGAACGCUGGCGGCAGGCCUAAUACAUGCAAGUCGAACGGUCUCUUCGGAGGCAGUGGCGGACGGGUGAGUAACGCGUGGGAACGUGCCCUUUGGUACGGAACAACUGAGGGAAACUUCAGCUAAUACCGUAUGUGCCCUUCGGGGGAAAGAUUUAUCGCCAUUGGAGCGGCCCGCGUUGGAUUAGCUAGUUGGUGGGGUAAUGGCCCACCAAGGCGACGAUCCAUAGCUGGUCUGAGAGGAUGAUCAGCCACACUGGGACUGAGACACGGCCCAGACUCCUACGGGAGGCAGCAGUAGGGAAUCUUGCGCAAUGGGCGAAAGCCUGACGCAGCCAUGCCGCGUGAAUGAUGAAGGUCUUAGGAUUGUGAAAUUCUUUCACCGGGGACGAUAAUGACGGUACCCGGAGAAGAAGCCCCGGCUAACUUCGUGCCAGCAGCCGCGGUAU
rnacentral:rRNA from 1 species